rnacentral:tRNA from 1 species
GAAAUAUGAUAAUCAAAAUAAAGCUUCUAACUUUAAUUUUUAGCAGUGAAAUUCUGUUUAUAUUUCU